AUGCGAGUAAAUUCUGGGCCUGUCUUCCAUUUCUAUGGCCCUUCCAUAGCCCUGGAAUCCAAUCUCAAGUGCUUGCGGUAUCUUUUAGGUAUCCUCCAGGGUGCCAGUGGGGACAUUGUGGUGACCCAGUCUCCAGCCUCUCUGGCUAAGUCUCAAGGAGAAACGGUCACCAUCAACUGCAAGGCCAGCCAGAGUGUGAGCAGCUACUUAGCCUGGUACCAGCAGAAGCCAGGACAGGCUCCUAAGCUGCUCAUCUACAAGGCAUCAAGUCGGGCAUCUGGGGUCCCUGACCGGUUCAGUGGCAGUGGGUCAGGGACAGACUUCACUUUCACCAUCAGCAACUUCCAGGCUGAAGACGCCGCAGUUUAUUAUUGUCAGCUGUAUUAUAGUGCUACACCCACAGUGCUUCAGCCUCGAACAAAAACCUCCUCCUGA